rnacentral:rRNA from 1 species
GACGAACGCUGGCGGCGUGCUUAACACAUGCAAGUCGAACGAAGAGCGACGGAAGCUUGCUUCUAUCAAUCUUAGUGGCGAACGGGUGAGUAACGCGUAAUCAACCUGCCCUUCAGAGGGGGACAACAGUUGGAAACGACUGCUAAUACCACAUACGAUCUAAUCUCGGCAUCGAGGAUGGAUGAAAGGUGGCCUCUACAUGUAAGCUAUCACUGAAGGAGGGGAUUGCGUCUGAUUAGCUAGUUGGAGGGGUAACGGCCCACCAAGGCGAUGAUCAGUAGCCGGUCUGAGAGGAUGAACGGCCACAUUGGGACUGAGACACGGCCCAGACUCCUACGGGAGGCAGCAGUGGGGAAUCUUCCGCAAUGGACGAAAGUCUGACGGAGCAACGCCGCGUGAGUGAUGACGGCCUUCGGGUUGUAAAGCUCUGUUAAUCGGGACGAAAGGCCUUCUUGCGAAUAGUGAGAAGGAUUGACGGUACCGGAAUAGAAAGCCACGGCUAACUACGCG